UGACACAGCCAUAUCACCCUGCUGCCCAAGACCGGUUACUCACUGAAGCUAAGCAGGGCUGAGCCUGGUUAGUACCUGGAUGGGAGACCACUAGGGAACACUAGGUUGAUUUUGGAA
rnacentral:rRNA from 1 species